rnacentral:lncRNA from 1 species
CUGUUUCCAUAGAGAAGCCAUACAUUGUGUCCAGAAGGAUUGCGAGUAUUGUGUUGGGAAAUACAGAUCUUUUGAUCCUGGAGCUGGCUGGCUUAGCUCCUUGAUAAGCUCCUUGUUUCUCCUAUUAGAGAGAAAGUUAUUGGUGAGAUAAAAUCCUGCUGUAAUUCGAUUUCAACUUGACUGUAAAAUGUUCUUACUUGUAUAGGUCUGAAUUUUUGUAGAGUUGGGCAAAAUCGACUCCUAAAGCCGCUUCUUGAGAUGUGUUUGAGACUUCAAGCAUCCAGGUUGCUGGGUUGUACCCUUCUGUGAUCUUGUUGAUUCCUUGAAUACUCUGUUUCAGUGUCAACAAUACAUAUUCAGUC